rnacentral:ncRNA from 1 species
UGGUCUCAAAGAUUAAACCAUGCAUAUCUAAGUAUAUUCCGCAUUAAGGCAAACCAACGAGCGGGUUAUUAAAUUAGUUAUGUUUCCUUGGUUCCUCAGUUUUAGUACAUUAAAAUCAUUCGGAUCUCGUCUCUAGCUAUGCAGUGUUGUGCGAAUGCCUCGGCUGCUGUCACCAGACUUGCUCUCUAAUUGAUUCACGUUAAAGCAUUUAGAGUAUACUCGUUUCAAACAUGGCGUCUCAAAAGAGCUGCUCGCGUGGUCUCGUCCCCGGCGACGUAUUAUUCAAGUGUCCCUCUUAUCAACACUUGAUGGUAGGUAACGUGACUACCAUGGUCGUAGCGAGUGACUGGAAAUCUGAAUUCGAUUCCGGAAAGAGAAUCUGAGAAAUGGUUAGCAGAUAAAGCAAGGCAAAGCAAGGCAGAUACAAGCAAGGUGUGCAAAUUACCCAUUCCCAGAGCAACGAGAUAGAGAGGAAAAAUAACAAUACGGGACUCUUUUGAGGCGCCAUGACUGAAAUGAGUACACUCUAAAUGAUUUAACAUGGAUCAAUUAAAGGGCAAAUCUGGUGACAGCUGCCGAGGUAAUUCCAGUUCAAAUA